UCCGUAGGUGGAUAAUUAAGUCAGAGGUGAAAUCCUGCAGCUCAACCGAGAAACUGCCAUUGAUACUGUUAAUCUUGAGUUCGGUUGAGGUAGGCGGAAUGUGUAAUGUAGCGGUGAAAUGCUUAGAUAUUACACAGAACACCAAUUGCGUAGGCAGCUUACUAGACCGACACUGACGCUGAGGCACGAAAGCGUGGGGAGCGAACAGGAUUAGAUACCCUGGUAGUCC
rnacentral:rRNA from 1 species